GGUCGUAGCCCAGCUGGAUAGAGCGCAGGACUCCGACUCCUGAGGCCGUGGGUUCGAAUCCCACCGAU
rnacentral:tRNA from 1 species